AUGGUUCAUGCAACGAUUAAGGUUAGGCAUUCAUCUGAAUGGUUCAUGCAACGAUUAAGGUUUGGCAUAGGCUUUAAAACAAAAAUAAAAACAACUUUAUAUAUCACUGGAUUCGAACAUGCAACCUUUGAUCCUUUGGAACCACAGACAGAUGCUUAUGCUCAUCUACAAUGCCCUAGAAAAGCCAAAACCUACUUUACGGUAACAGCUGUUGGGCGGCACGGAGGGAGCCGGCUGUGGAGGCACCACUGUGCCUGCCGAGGGAGCCGCUGUGGAGCCACCAUGUUGGCCUGCACGAGGGAGCCGGCUGUGGAGCGCACCACUGUUGGCCUGCACGGAGGGAGCCGGCUGUGGGCGCACCACUGUUGGCCUGCACGGAGGGAGCCGGUGUGGAGCGCACCACUGUUGGCCUGCACGGAGGGAGCCGCCGUGGAGCGCACCACUGUUGCCUGCACGGAGGGAGCCGGCCGGGAGCGCACCACUGUUGGCCUGCACGGAGGGAGCCAGGGCAGGUUGGCACGUCAGAGAUGGAGGCUAGAGGCAGAGGCAAUAGGGUUAUGUAACCAGUCCUUCCUGUUGUGUCAGAACGACCGGGUGUGGUGGGGGGUCUGAGAGAGAGAAAGGGAGAGGGAACGAGGGCCUUUGUGGCUGAUUUUCUCUUAUUUCCGGCUCUUUUUUUUUGCCCUUCCCUCCCUCCCCUCUUCCAUGCAUGUAGCGGUUGAUUGCACCACAGUAUCCCCAUCAGGCAACUUAAUGGCGUGUAGAUGACAGCCCAAUGUAGAGCCAUUCCUGGCCACCUGAUAGCUGGAGACACGCAGCCAACCUGGGGGAAAGGGUGAGGGGGACACCAACUAGGGCUGAGGGGGACACCAACUAGGGCUGGGAGAUAUCGUCAACAUUUUUGACGGUAUGAUGGCAUUUGACAGUAUUUUAUGUUUUUUUUAUAAUAAAAGUUCUAAAUAUGCUUCAUGAGUAGUGCAGGACCGUAGGUAGGGUGGCAACAAAUACAUUCUAGGUGGUUUCAACGGGGCUUUCUCUUCUGAUUGCUUUAUACUGUUCAAACUUCAUCCUACUACCAUUAGUUUUCAGCACCAUUCGCAUUCUCACCGGACCACUUAUCAUCUCUCCUCCUCCCCCACACCUCCCGCCGUACCACCGGUAGCCCUAGUUGUUAAAAAAGGACUUUCUUUAUCAAAAUAAUUAUUCUACUAGGUUUCCAUAACUAGGUUUCCAUAACUAGGUUUCCAUAACUAGGUUUCCAUAACUAGGUUUCCAAACUAGGUUUCCAUAUAUCCACCAAUAGCACAUUUUCCCACCAGGGGGGUCCACCAAACUGACUUGUUGA
rnacentral:lncRNA from 1 species